GGACGAUUAGCUCAGUGGUAGAGCAUUGCAUUCACAUUGCAAGGGCCACAGGUUCAAAUCCUGUAUCGUCCA
rnacentral:tRNA from 1 species